rnacentral:lncRNA from 13 species
UUUCACCAUCUUUUGUUUUUCUAGACUCAAGGACAGCCAGAACAUUCUCAGAGCCUCACAGUAAUCCUGAGUACCAGAUGCUUAGUCCUGAUCAACAUGGCCACUGUUGCGUUUGCCAUUUAUAACUGGAGAGUAUGAUGAAUAUGCAGGUCCAUUUGCACUGAGCUUUGAAUCUGCUUGAGUCUUUACAUGAUGCAAAGAAGCAUCUGUUUGCCUUAGUCACCCAAACAAAAUCCAAAAACGAUAGAUCAAGUUUUGCUCUUGUCACCCAGACCGAAGUACAAUAGGGCGAUCUCAGCUCACUGCAACCUCUGCCUCCGAGGUUCAAGAGACUCUCAUGCUUCUGCCUCCGCGAAUAUCUAGGAUUACAGUUGCAGGUUCAGCAUGGAAUCUCUUUUUGGAGCUGGUGGAAUUCGCUAGGGAUAGCAGGUUGAGGGUGACAAUUGGUCUACAAGGCUCUCUUCAUUGAUCAGCUUGCAUGUGCAUCUUCUUAUGGUGGCUGGGCAGGGGUACAAGAAGAGAGAAAACAGCAAGGCUACCUGAGGCUAGAAACUACUAGAAAACGUCAAUUUUAUUAUUUUCCGUAUGAUGAAAUAAAUCACAAGGUAAGGCCA